rfam:Idiomarina sp. MCCC 1A10513 contig2, whole genome shotgun sequence.
CGUAUGGUGUCCGGCAACAGAUCGGAUGGCGAUGCGGCCUAACUGAGGU